ACUCCAGGAGAAAAGUGGAACUUUCUGUUUGUGGCUUUAAACAGAUACAGCCCUGUGGGGCUGGAGCAGACAUUUCACAGUGCUGUUUAAAUUUAAACCAGGCCAGUUACCUGUGAUUGGCAUUGCCCUGAGAAACUAACGACCGAAUGGCUGACAAUUUUGUUGAGUUGAACGACAUGCAGUGUGUGUACAUGUUCUUUGUUUCUGCAUCAGCAGAAGAAAUGCAUUCAUGACUUGAGAACAGCAGAAGAAAAGUGUUUAUGACUGAAAGACAGUGGAGAAGGCAGAGCAUUCUGGAAGACACAUCCUGUGUGAACUUUGGGAGACCAAGGUGCUGCCAGACCUUCUGAGGGGUUUCCCCAGCAUUGUGUUUGAUUCCAAGGAAACAACCACCACCAACCAUAGAGACAGCAUUCCAUGAUUUCACAACAUCCAUUUGUCCAAGUACAGAACAAUUUCCCCCUCUUAUGCGCUGGAUUUCUUUUUGUUCUGAUUUGCUUAUGUAUCCUAUCUAACUGUAUCAUUUGAACAAAAGGAUCAUGAUGUGAACCCCUUUCUUAGUUCAUCUGUGACUCCCAGACACAUAACUUACACUUAGCUGAGAGAGGAACCGAAGAUCUGAGAACUGAAAUAAUCUAGAGUAAUAAUGGGGUCUUAGUCAUGGCUCAGUGUUGCAUUCUCAUCACUGAUCCAGGAGGUCAGUUCAGACGAUACACAUGGGCACAAGAACUAGGUUGCUAUUCUGAUGCAGCAUUGUACUCACAUUUUGGAUGCAACGUUCAACUGUGGCCUCAUCUGCCCUCUCAAUUGGGUGUAUAAGUUCCCAAAAUGUUAUUCUGAAGAGCAAGUAAUUCCUCUCUGGUGAGCUGCUCAAUAUUCAUCCCUGAACAAACACAACAGAACAUAAUAUAUUGUCAGAAUCACAGUUCUCAUUGCAGGAUGUUGUGAUUUGAUUGCAGUAUUUUCAAAAUUAAAAAC